rnacentral:rRNA from 2 species
CUUUAUUGGAGAGUUUGAUCCUGGCUCAGGACGAACGCUGGCGGCGUGCCUAAUACAUGCAAGUCGAGCGGACUGAUGGGAGCUUGCUCCCUGAUGUUAGCGGCGGACGGGUGAGUAACACGUGGGCAACCUGCCUGUAAGACUGGGAUAACUCCGGGAAACCGGGGCUAAUACCGGAUAAUUCUUGUCCUCCCAUGAGGACAAGCUGAAAGACGGUUACGGCUGUCACUUACAGAUGGGCCCGCGGCGCAUUAGCUAGUUGGUGAGGUAAUGGCUCACCAAGGCCACGAUGCGUAGCCGACCUGAGAGGGUGAUCGGCCACACUGGGACUGAGACACGGCCCAGACUCCUACGGGAGGCAGCAGUAGGGAAUCUUCCGCAAUGGACGAAAGUCUGACGGAGCAACGCCGCGUGAGCGAUGAAGGCCUUCGGGUCGUAAAGCUCUGUUGUUAGGGAAGAAUGAGUAUCGGAUUAACUGCCGGUACCUUGCCGGUACCUAACCAGAAAGCCACGGCUAACUACGUGCCAGCAGCCGCGGUAAUACGUAGGUGGCAAGCGUUGUCCGGAAUUAUUGGGCGUAAAGCGCGCGCAGGUGGUUCCUUAAGUCUGAUGUGAAAGCCCACGGCUCAACCGUGGAGGG